GCUUACACAUGCAAGUCGAACGAGAAAGGGAUUGCUUGCAAUCCUGAGUAGAGUGGCGCACGGGUGAGUAACACGUAGAUAAUCUACCUCCAAGCCCGGGAUAACUAUCCGAAAGGGUGGCUAAUACCGGAUGAAGUGAUUUAACAAAAGCUGAAUCAUGAAAGAUGGCCUCUUCCUGAAAGCAAUUGUUUGGAGAUGAGUUUGCGGACCAUUAGUUAGUUGGUGGGGUAACGGCCUACCAAGACGACGAUGGUUAGCUGGUCUGAGAGGAUGAUCAGCCACACUGGAACUGGUACACGGUCCAGACUCCUACGGGAGGCAGCAGUGAGGAAUUUUGCGCAAUGGGGGCAACCCUGACGCAGCAACGCCGCGUGAGUGAAGAAGGCCUUUGGGUCGUAAAGCUCUGUCGACAGGGAAGAAAUUAUUGUUAUUUAAAAGAUGAUGGUAUUGACGGUACCUGUAGAGGAAGCACCGGCUAACUCCGUGCCAGCAGCCGCGGUAAUACGGGGGGUGCAAGCGUUAUUCGGAAUUAUUGGGCGUAAAGGGCGCGUAGGCGGUCUUGUCGGUCAGAUGUGAAAGCCCGGGGCUCAACCCCGGACGUGCAUUUGAAACAGCAAGACUUGAGUACGGGAGAGGAAAGCGGAAUUCCUGGUGUAGAGGUGAAAUUCGUAGAUAUCAGGAG
rnacentral:rRNA from 1 species